rnacentral:lncRNA from 1 species
AGCUUUUUAAUUGCUUUAAAAUCACUAUUUUCUACUUCCAGUUUAUGUGAUUCCUAAGCACUCUCAUUGAUUGGAUACUUGGAAAGGAAAAAUAUAUAGCGAAUUAUAUUGGUCGCUUGACUUUUAUAUCCUUAGGUUCAUGUAUUUAGAAUUUGUUACUCCCUUUUGAUGAUGACAAAAGGGGGAGAAAAUAUACGGUACAAAACUUUCCUUGCACAUGUUAUAGAUAAAAUGCAUGAAGGCAGGGGAGCAUGACUAUGGAACCCUUAGAGUAAGGGGGAGCAUUUACCUUCCAUGGAAGAGUAAGAUCGAUAUAAGCGGGACAUUUCAGGAAAGUAACUAGUCUAUCUAGCUUAUUACUUUAGAUGCACUUUAAUUAAGUUUUUGAUGCAAUCUUCAUGUUUUGUACUCAAUGGUUUGCCAUCAAUAAAAAUGGGAGAUUGUUAUCCCCAAGGUUUCACAUAUUGAUUUUGAUAAUACCAAACCAACAUAACUUUUAGUAAAAGAAUAUUUACUUGUGGUAAAUUAUUUUUGUACAGGUUUUCUAAAAGAAGAAUGAUCAAAGACGAUAUAUAAAAGAUUUGCAGAAGAAAGAAGGAGAUACGAAAGAUGUUAUAAAGAAGGAAAGUCCCAAGCUAAUGGCUAUGAUAUAGAAGCAUACUAUGGUAAAAGAUUGUGAAAGAGAAGCAG